rnacentral:rRNA from 1 species
GGCAGCAUGGUCUUAGCUUGCUAAGGCCGAUGGCGACCGGCGCACGGGUGAGUAACACGUAUCCAACCUGCCGUCUACUCUUGGACAGCCUUCUGAAAGGAAGAUUAAUACAAGAUGGCAUCAUGAGUCCGCAUGUUCACAUGAUUAAAGGUAUUCCGGUAGACGAUGGGGAUGCGUUCCAUUAGAUAGUAGGCGGGGUAACGGCCCACCUAGUCUUCGAUGGAUAGGGGUUCUGAGAGGAAGGUCCCCCACAUUGGAACUGAGACACGGUCCAAACUCCUACGGGAGGCAGCAGUGAGGAAUAUUGGUCAAUGGGCGAGAGCCUGAACCAGCCAAGUAGCGUGAAGGAUGACUGCCCUAUGGGUUGUAAACUUCUUUUAUAAAGGAAUAAAGUCGGGUAUGGAUACCCGUUUGCAUGUACUUUAUGAAUAAGGAUCGGCUAACUCCGUGCCAGCAGCCGCGGUAAUACGGAGGAUCCGAGCGUUAUCCGGAUUUAUUGGGUUUAAAGGGAGCGUAGAUGGAUGUUUAAGUCAGUUGUGAAAGUUUGCGGCUCAACCGUAAAAUUGCAGUUGAUACUGGAUAUCUUGAGUGCAGUUGAGGCAGGCGGAAUUCGUGGUGUAGCGGUGAAAUGCUUAGAUACCA